rnacentral:rRNA from 1 species
UACGGGGGGGGCAAGCGUUGUUCGGAAUUACUGGGCGUAAAGGGCUCGUAGGCGGCCAACUAAGUCGGAUGUGAAAUCCCCAAGCUUAACUUGGGAACUGCAUCCGAUACUGGAUGGCUUGAAUCCGGGAGAGGGAUGCAGAAUUCCAGGUGUAGCGGUGAAAUGCGUAGAGAUGCGGAGGAACACCGAUGGCGAAGGCAGCCCCCUGGGCUAACACUGACGCUCAGGCACGAAAGGCGUGGGGAGCAAACGAGG